rnacentral:rRNA from 1 species
UUCAGAAUAAAUCUGAAGUGUAACCUGCCCAAUGAUCUUUAAUUAAAAAGAAAUAGCCUUCUUAAAAAAGAUUAAAAGGACGCAGUAAACUGACUGUGAUAAUGUAGCAUAAUCAUUCGCCAUUUAAUUGAUGGAUAGUAUGAAAGGUCAAACGAACUCCUCACUGUCUCAAAAAAAGAAUUAAUGAAAUAAAAGUAAUAGUUAAGAUGCUAUUUGAAAUUGUAAGACGAAAAGACCCUAUAGAGCUUAACUAAGUUCUUUUGAAUAUAAAACAUGAAAGAAGGAUAGUUUAGUUGGGGCGACUAUCUUCUAAAAUUAACGAAGAAGAGCAAAGAAAAUUAUAAAGAUUCUUAUUGUACAAUUAAUAAAUUUAACAAUUACCAAAGUAGGCUAAAAUGACCCGUUAUAAAAAAGUGAAAAUAUAACGAUUAACAAAUAAAAGCUACCUUAGGGAUAACAGGAUAAUUUUGUUCUAGAGAUCUUAUCGUAAACAAAGUUUGUCACCUCUAUGUUGAAUUAAGAUAACCUAAUAAUGCAGAAGUUAUUAAGGGUAGGUCUGUUCGACCUUUAAAAU